GACAUGAAGUUAGGUCAGCAAACCCGCUGAAUUUAAGCAUAUC
rnacentral:rRNA from 1 species